GUGGGGAAUAUUGCACAAUGGGGGAAACCCUGAUGCAGCGACGCCGCGUGAGUGAAGAAGUAUUUCGGUAUGUAAAGCUCUAUCAGCAGGGAAGAAAGUGACGGUACCUGAAUAAGAAGCCCCGGCUAACUACGUGCCAGCAGCCGCGGUAAUACGUAGGGGGCAAGCGUUAUCCGGAUUUACUGGGUGUAAAGGGAGCGUAGACGGCAAGGCAAGUCUGAAGUGAAAGCCCGGUGCUUAACGCCGGGACUGCUUUGGAAACUGUUUAGCUGGAGUGCCGGAGAGGUAAGCGGAAUUCCUAGUGUAGCGGUGAAAUGCGUAGAUAUUAGGAAGAACACCAGUGGCGAAGGCGGCUUACUGGACGGUAACUGACGUUGAGGCUCGAAAGCGUGGGGAGCAAACAGGA
rnacentral:rRNA from 1 species